rnacentral:rRNA from 1 species
ACGAGCGCUGGCGGCGUGCUUAACACCUGCAAGUCGAACGGAAAGGCCCUGCUUUUGUGGGGUGCUCGAGUGGCGAACGGGUGAGUAACACGUGAGUAACCUGCCCUUGAAUUUGGGAUAACUUCAGGAAACUGGGGCUAAUACCGGAUAGGAGCUCCUGCUGCAUGGUGGGGGUUGGAAAGUUUCGGCGGUUGGGGAUGGACUCGCGGCUUAUCAGCUUGUUGGUGGGGUAGUGGCUUACCAAGGCUUUGACGGGUAGCCGGCCUGAGAGGGUGACCGGCCACAUUGGGACUGAGAUACGGCCCAGACUCCUACGGGAGGCAGCAGUGGGGAAUAUUGCACAAUGGGCGGAAGCCUGAUGCAGCAACGCCGCGUGCGGGAUGACGGCCUUCGGGUUGUAAACCGCUUUCGCCUGUGACGAAGCGUGAGUGACGGUAAUGGGUAAAGAAGCACCGGCUAACUACGUG